CCACUAUGUGGGAAUAUACUGAAUUUGUUGUUGUUGCCUAUUAAGAGAAUAGGUCCCGAAAAAGUGGUCCGUCUUUCAUCAUCUAUACCAGUUGCCAUGCAAGAACCAAUAGAAAGGAUUUCGACAAAAGGAGAAAUCCACCCGAGGAGGGGCUCACGUCUAAUUAGCUAGUUGGUGAAGCAAUAGCUUACCAAGACGAUGAUCAGUAGCUAGUCCGAAAGGAUGAUCAGUCACAUUGGGACUGAGAUACGACCCAGACUCUUAUGGGACACAGUACAGCAGUGGAGAAUUUUUCGUAAUGGGCGAAUGCGUGACGGAGCAAUGCUGCGUAGAGGUAGAAGGCCCACGGGUUGUGAACUUCUUUUCUCAGAGAAGAAGCAAUGACAAUAUCUGAGGAAUAAGCAUCAUCUCACUAAGAUGGGGGCUAGAAAAAAGGGUCC
rnacentral:ncRNA from 1 species